rnacentral:rRNA from 1 species
UAAGGAAUAUUGGUCAAUGGACGCAAGUCUGAACCAGCCAUGCCGCGUGGAGGAUGAAGGCCCUCUGGGUUGUAAACUUCUUUUAUCUGGGACGAAACCCUCAUAUUCUUAUGAGACUGACGGUACCAGAGGAAUAAGCACCGGCUAACUCCGUGCCAGCAGCCGCGGUAAUACGGAGGGUGCAAGCGUUAUCCGGAUUCACUGGGUUUAAAGGGUGCGUAGGAGGGCAGGUAAGUCAGUGGUGAAAUCUCCAAGCUUAACUUGGAAACUGCCGUUGAUACUAUCUGUCUUGAAUAUUGUGGAGGUGAGCGGAAUAUGUCAUGUAGCGGUGAAAUGCUUAGAUAUGACAUAGAACACCAAUUGCGAAGGCAGCUCACUACACAAUCAUUGACUCUGAGGCACGAAAGCGUGGGGAUCAAACAGGAUUAGAUACCCUGGUAGUCCACGCCCUAAACUAUGGAUACUCGACAUACGCG